rnacentral:rRNA from 1 species
GCAAGUCGAGCGGUAGAGAGGUGCUUGCACCUCUUGAGAGCGGCGGACGGGCGAGUAAAGCCUAGGAAUCUGCCUGGUAGUGGGGGAUAACGCUCUGAAACGGACGCUAAUACCGCAUACGUCCUACGGGAGAAAGCAGGGGACCUUCGGGCCUUGCGCUAUCAGAUGAGCCUAGGUCGGAUUAGCUAGUUGGUGAGGUAAUGGCUCACCAAGGCGACGAUCCGUAACUGGUCCGAGAGGAUGAUCAGUCACACUGGAACUGAGACACGGUCCAGACUCCUACGGGAGGCAGCAGUGGGGAAUAUUGGACAAUGGGCGAAAGCCUGAUCCAGCCAUGCCGCGUGUGUGAAGAAGGUCUUCGGAUUGUAAAGCACUUUAAGUUGGGAGGAAGGGCAUUAACCUAAUACGUUAGUGUUUUGACGUUACCGACAGAAUAAGCACCGGCUAACUCUGUGCCAGCAGCCGCGGUAAUACAGAGGGUGCAAGCGUUAAUCGGAAUUACUGGGCGUAAAGCGCGCGUAGGUGGUUCGUUAAGUUGGAUGUGAAAUCCCCGGGCUCAACCUGGGAACUGCAUUCAAAACUGUCGAGCUAGAGUAUG